rnacentral:lncRNA from 1 species
CAAUUUAUUUUCUCUUCUAUAGUGUCCUGCCACUUGCCAUCGAUUUAUCCAACAUUGUUAACCUUUGCCUUGUUGAAUGUCAGUUAUGACCCAGCUCGUUUGAACAAUGGGAGUGAAGGAACUUUGAAUGUUUACCAGAAGUGACCUUAUGAUUUCAGAAACUACCAUCUCAUUUUGUGGUGAGUAUGAUUUGAUUUAGUCAAUACCACUUGUCGUCUUUCAUCCACGGAAAAAUUAAUACAACCAUAUACAUAAACUGUAGCAGUUCAUGCAUCGUCCGACCACCUGUAGCAAUUAUUUUGCUUGGAGCUUUUAGUAAACUUGCUUUUGUUUUCUACUAGGCUAUUUAUUUCUAUCAUCAGGACCCCAUACUUGGACCUACACCAUGUUUCUACCAUGUCUAUAAAUAAGGAGAAAUAUUCCAGUUAACUAAUGCCUAUUUGCAAUCUUAAUUUCAGAUAUUGGAUGAUCAAGAUGUCUUCUUUGCCAAUUUGCUAGGUGGCUGUCUUGGUUGAAUUGUCAAAUCUGCAACUCGAGCUAAGGGAGAUAUGGAGGUGCAGCGACAAAGGCAAGGCUGAUGCCUGUGCUUUGUCCAAUGUUACUCAUUUUAGUAAAUGUUUAGCUAGUACUCUCAGUUCUGUGGUUGUGCAAAGAGUUUUUUAUGUUGAUACCAAAUAUUUGGAGAAGAUUUGGGUAGAUGGGUGCCAAAAGUCUGCGUGCCUUGUGUACUUUGUUGUUAUGUUGAUGCAACACAAAGACAUAUUUGUAUUUAGUGGAUUCAUG